rnacentral:lncRNA from 1 species
GGGAGCUUAAGUGGUACACGAUGACCCUAUUUUAUUUAAUUCUUUUUUCCUUAGAAUCUCAUGUCUCAUUAAUUAGUAUUCUACUAAAAGAUAUCAUCGAUAAUAAUAUUUUUUUAAUUACUAUAACUUUUCAUUCAACCACCAGAGGCUAUUUGGUUGGAGUCCUAUUGUCAAACAACUUAGAACUACCUCCAAGACUCUAUAUAUCUUCUUAAAUUCUUAGAAAUAGAGAUUUUGGUAGGAAAAAACAUCCUCGUAUAGCUUCUUGUAUUUCGAAUUUCUUCCUUGCCAAAAAAAGAAAACAAAAAUGAUUCUCUAUAGUGUGUACACAAAAUAAAUAGAAAUGGUCAGAGAGCGAAAAUAUGUGAAAAAAUAAUUUUUAUGCAAAUAACUCUCUAAUUAGAGAGAGAGAGAGAGGGUUUUAGAGAGACACUUAAAGAGAUGCUCUUAGCUAGACAUCCAUCAAUCUCACGCUAUCAAAAUCCAACGCUUGGGCAAUCUUUGGCGUCUCUGAAGCAGACACUGCUGCUAGGUGUAUUGUGCGCAC